rnacentral:rRNA from 1 species
CCUACGGUGGGCAGCAGUGGGGAAUAUUGCACAAUGGGGGAAACCCUGAUGCAGCGACGCCGCGUGAGUGAGGAAGUAUUUCGGUAUUUAACGCUCUUUCAGCCGGUAGGAAAAUGACGGUACCUGAUUAAGAAGCCCCGGCUAACUACGUGCCAGCAGCCGCUGUCAUACGUAGGGGGCAAGCGUUAUCCGGAUUUACUGGGUGUAAAGGGAGCGUAGACGGCAGUACAAGUCUGAAGUGAAAUGCCGGGGCUUAACCCCGGAACUGCUUUGGAAACUGUGGAGCUAGAGUGCAGGAGAGGUAAGUGGAAGUCCUAGGGUAGCGGUGAAAUGCGUAGAUAUUAGGAGGAACACCAGUGGCGAAGGCGGCUUACUGGACAGUAACUGACGUUGAGGCUCGAAAGCGUGGGGAGCAAACAGGAUUAGAUACCCCGGUAGUC